CAUGGCUCAGAUUGAACGCUGGCGGCAGGCUUAACACAUGCAAGUCGAACGGUAACAUGAAGAAGCUUGCUUCUUUGAUGACGAGUGGCGGACGGGUGAGUAAUGCUUGGGAAUCUGGCUUAUGGAGGGGGAUAACGACGGGAAACUGUCGCUAAUACCGCGUAGAAUCGAGAGAUGAAAGUGUGGGACCUUCGGGCCACAUGCCAUAGGAUGAGCCCAAGUGGGAUUAGGUAGUUGGUGGGGUAAAGGCCUACCAAGCCGACGAUCUCUAGCUGGUCUGAGAGGAUGAUCCGCCACACUGGGACUGAGACACGGCCCAGACUCCUACGG
rnacentral:rRNA from 1 species